GAUAAAUAUCAUCAUAUUUACUAAAAAAUACUUAGGGCUGAAAGUGGAUUGGAUAUAGAUCAUAUACUGGUAUAUUUAUAUUCAUAUUUAUUUUACUUGAUAUUGCUCAGUAAGACAAUCCAAGAGGAAGGAUGAAUUGAAUUUUUCAAAAUUUAAACAAGUAAUAUGCUAUUUUAAAAACUAGUGAAGUGUUGAUGAGUGCAGACUUUAAGUAUGCAGAAAUAUAAAUAUAAGGAAAGCU
rnacentral:lncRNA from 1 species